UAAAGAACUAAAAGCAUUUCCGCUCCCCUUUGUUUUGGAUAUAAUGAUGACGUCUUCUAUGUUUUCUGAUGUUUUGUUGGCGUCUUUUGCCACCAGCUGAUCAAUGAACCUGUGGGGAUUAUGUGCUUAAAACGACGUUAGAUUUUUUGAAUGACAUGAAGGAAUGGAGCGAUCAGAGUGAUUGUUCAGAGGGUGAUUAUGAUGAAGAAACAGAGCUGUUUGAACAGGAGACUGAGGAGUUUAUGAAAGAUUUUGUAGCAAAAAUAUUCCUUGAAGAAAGCGUUAUUUCUCAGGAGGACAAGCUCAAGUUUGGAAUCCUUAAUCAGCAUAGUGUGGGACGUCUUUCCUUUUCCAAACAUGUUGACAACCAGAGAGUAUAUUGCAAGAGUGUGCCAGAGACCAUCUUCUUCAGACUUGUACAGUACUUUGCAAUUGUUUUAUUUGAAUGUAACCAAGCUGACGAUUUUGAGCCAGCCAAGAUUUUAAUGAACAUGUGUUUUACAUUUUUCCUUCAAAUUAACAAAGAUGGAAAGGAAGUAAUGAAGCAGUUUAUUGUUCCAUACCUCAGAGAUCAACCGAUUUGGAAGUCACUUCGGUUCUGGAACGCAGCUUUUUUCGAUGCCGUACAUGGAGAACGAGAAGUUUCUGCCAUACCAAGUGAUACGUGGCAGAGUUGGACUGUACAAGAACAAAGUGAAUACAAAGAAUGUGACAAGAACAGCGUAUUUGGUAAAUUAGGAACGUUUCUCAAUAACAUGAAGGCAUUUGGUCUCGGAAACGACAUAUGCAAGGAAUUUCUUCAGAAAAUGAGUAUAAUUGGAGACUUGAGUGAAGGUAAGCCGACCUCAUCAGAAACGCUGGGGCGAGUAGUAUGAAAUCGAGGCAGGUUUUGAUUGUGUGCUGCUCCUUCCUUAUUAUGGGAUAGGCGCUCACUUGGUACAUGUCGAGGAUAAUAUGGACUGCUGGCAACCGAACAAAUUGUGCUUUUGGAGAAUAGCAUGGCUGCGGCUGGUGUUGACGAGCGCUCGCGGUAACUAAUCAGUUGCAUGAUAAGGGAAUCCCAGAAGAACGCAGUUUUUCUCAACACCGGCUCACUGCAUUCAGGACAUCAGCAGUACUCGAGAUCAUUUUAGUACUUUAAGUAUCUACGAAGCCAUGUAUCAACAUCUGUAAUAUUUUCUUCUAAAAAUUAUUCAUUGCUUACCCACUCGACUAGUUUUGCUCGGAAACGUUUAAGUGCUCCUUACUAAAGGUUGACGAUUCAGAGAGCAAAUUACUCCUUAGACAGUUUAUUGUGUGUUUUCAUUUUUAUGAGAUAAAAAUUGUUUCUUUGUAUCCCACUUUUUGGUAAUGAUACGGAAAAGUUCCGGGAUUUCAAACAACGUCCCAUGAAAGUUCAAAAAAGGCUGUAAAAAUCACAAUGAAUUUCAUUUAAUCUGCAAAGUGGAUUUUGUUAUGGUGAAUUGUACUGGUUUCGAAUGCAAUUUGAUAACUGAAGCGGUCCCUCAAAUUUCAGUUUGGAUUUAUCUUUAUAAACAAGGCCUAGGCGUUUCCUUUACAUAUUUAAAAUUUAAAAUUAUUUAUCGCACAGAAAAUGGGAUUUGGGUAUCUUUUAAUUAAAUUCAACUUCUUUCGUUUCAACGGAAGACAAUUAACGAAUUAUCUUAUUGUAAAUGUUAUGGCAAGAUAUUUUAAAAGUUUGUUGUUAAAUUAUUUAGUUUUCUAAGUACCGUGCUAACAGUGGUCUGUAUAUGAAGGAUUUUAACCACGCCAUUUUAAAUGGUAAUAAAUGACAUUUCUUAAAUUCCC